rnacentral:rRNA from 1 species
UUUACGGGAGGCAGCAGUGAGGAAUAUUGGACAAUGGAGGAGACUCUGAUGCAGCGAUGCCGCGUGAGUGAAGAAGGCCUUUGGGUUGUAAAGCUCUUUCGUCGGGGAAGAAAAUGACUGUACCCGAAUAAGAAGGUCCGGCUAACUUCGUGCCAGCAGCCGCGGUAAU